GGGGAAGUGGUGGAAUGGCAUACACAGGAGACUUAAAAUCUCCCGCUUCACGGCUUGCGGGUUCAAAUCCCGCCUUCCCUA
rnacentral:tRNA from 1 species